GACGAACGCUGGCGGCGUGCUUAACACAUGCAAGUCGAACGGAAAGGCCCUGCUUUUGUGGGGUGCUCGAGUGGCGAACGGGUGAGUAACACGUGAGUAACCUGCCCUUGACUUUGGGAUAACUUCAGGAAACUGGGGCUAAUACCGGAUAGGAGCUCCUGCUGCAUGGUGGGGGUUGGAAAGUUUCGGCGGUUGGGGAUGGUCUCGCGGCUUAUCAGCUUGUUGGUGGGGUAGUGGCUUACCAAGGCUUUGACGGGUAGCCGGCCUGAGAGGGUGACCGGCCACAAUGGGACUGAGAUAGGGCCCAGUCUCCAACGGGCGGCAGCAGUGGGAAAUAUUGCAGAAUGGGCGGAAGCCUGAUGCAGCAACGCCGCGUGCGGGAUGACGGCCUUCUAGUUGUAAACCGAUUUCGCCUGUGACGAAGCGUGAGUGACGGUAAUGGGUAAAGAAGCACCGGCUAACUACGUG
rnacentral:rRNA from 1 species